GACGAACCGAGCGAACGUUAUUCGGAAUCACUGGGCUUAAAGGGCGCGUAGGCGGGCCGCCAAUUCAGGGGUGAAAGCCCCCAGCUCAACUGGGGAAGUGCCUCUGAUACUGGCGGCCUCGAGGGAGGUAGGGGCGUGCGGAACUUCCGGUGGAGCGGUGAAAUGCGUAGAUAUCGGAAGGAACACCGGUGGCGAAAGCGGCGCGCUGGACCUCUUCUGACGCUGAGGCGCGAAAGCCAGGGGAGCGAACGGG
rnacentral:rRNA from 1 species